GACGAACGCUGGCGGCGUGCCUAAUACAUGCAAGUCGAACGCAGUGGGGACGGGUGAGUAACACGUGGGUAACCUCCCAUCAGAGGGGAUAACACUUGGAAACAGGUGCUAAACCCAUACUGAUGGAUGGACCCUCGGUGCAUUAGCUAGUUGGUGUGGUAACGGCUCACCAAGGCCACGAUGCAUAGCCGACCUGAGAGGGUGAUCGGCCACACUGGGACGUAGACACGGCCCAGACUCCUACGGGAGGCAGCAGUGGGGAAUCUUGGGCAAUGGACGAAAGUCUGACCGAGCAACGCCGCGUGAAUGAAGAAGGUUUUCGGAUCGUAAAACACUGUUAUUAGAGAAGCGGUAUCUAACCAGAAAGCAACGGCUAACUACGUGCCAGCAGCCGCGGUAAUAC
rnacentral:rRNA from 1 species